CGGAUUGAAGGACUGAAAUUCGCCUUCAUGAAGCUGGAAUUGCUAGUAAUGGCAGGUCAGCAUACUGUGGUGAAUACGUUCCCGGGCCUUGUACACACCGCCCGUCACACCAUGAGAGUUGAGAAUACCCGAAGCCCAUGUCAAAGUGGUCGAAGGUAGGCUUGAUGAUUGGGGUGAAGUCGUAACAAGGUAAC
rnacentral:rRNA from 1 species